GGAGAUUUUGUUCCCUGAGUUUCAGUCUACAAAGAAUCCAUAACGAUGACUUCGUUUUUCGGUCGUUAAAUUAGGUAAAUAUUUUUGACCAUAUCGAAAUACAAAGUCAUCCACAUUUAGAUGUGGUCAAAAAUAUCUACCUGAUUAAUGGACGGAAUGACAAAGUCAUUCUUGUGGAUUCCUUGGAAAUUGAAUGUCAAGGAACAGAUGUUCU